UACAGAGGUCUCAAGCGUUGUUCGGAUUCAUUGGGCGUAAAGGGUGCGUAGGUGGCGGGGUAAGUCAGGUGUGAAAUCUCGGGGCUCAACCCCGAAACUGCACUUGAUACUGCCUUGCUUGAGUACUGGAGAGGAGAUUGGAAUUUACGGUGUAGCAGUGAAAUGCGUAGAUAUCGUAAGGAAGACCAGUGGCGAAGGCGAAUCUCUGGACAGUCACUGACACUGAGGCACGAAGGCCAGGGGAGCAAACGGG
rnacentral:rRNA from 1 species